rnacentral:tRNA from 1 species
UAGUCUAGUUGGUUAGGAUACUCGGCUAUCACCCGAGAGACUUGGGUUCAAGUCUCAG